rnacentral:rRNA from 1 species
GCUGGCGGCGUGCCUAACACAUGCAAGUCGAACGAGAAAGUGGAGCAAUCCAUGAGUAAAGUGGCGACCGGGUGAGUAACACGUGACUAACCUACCUCCGAGUGGGGAAUAACUCCGGGAAACCGGGGCUAAUACCGCAUAACAUCGCAAGAUCAAAGCAGCAAUGCGCUUGGAGAGGGGGUCGCGGCUGAUUAGCUCGUUGGCGGGGUAACGGCCCACCAAGGCGAAGAUCGGUAUCCGGCCUGAGAGGGCGCACGGACACACUGGAACUGAAACACGGUCCAGACUCCUACGGGAGGCAGCAGUGGGGAAUUUUGCGCAAUGGGGGAAACCCUGACGCAGCAACGCCGCGUGGAGGAUGAAGCCCUUUGGGGCGUAAACUCCUUUCGACUCGGACGAUAAUGACGGUACGAGUGGAAGAAGCACCGGCUAACUCUGUGCCAGCAGCCGCGGUAAUACAGAGGGUGCGAGCGUUGUUCGGAAUUAUUGGGCGUAAAGGGCGCGUANGCGGUGCGGUAAGUCACCUGUGAAAUCUCCCGGCUUAACUGGGAGUCUGCAGGCGAAACUACCGUGCUGGAGUGUGGGAAAGGUGCGUGGAAUUCCCGGUGUGGCGGUGAAAUGCG